GGUUGUUCCAACAACUAAAAUCAUCUGUACAAUUAGUCAAAGAGGAUGUCGAAUACAAAAUCUAGCCUGAUUAAAUGACAAGACAAUACAAACAGGAUAAGGAUUGGGAGAUUUGAUUCCAUUCUCUCACAAUAUCUUCGCAUUUUGCAUUUUUCCUUCACAAAUUCACGAUUAUUGAAGAUUUCAGUUAUAUAAGGUUUAUAUGGCUUAUUUGAUGGUAAAUUAUGAUUUAUAAAGGCUAGUGAGACAAGCCUUCAAGUGUGUGGACGCUUAGGCCUAAGUUUUGAUUAUUGUCCAGAGAACAGUGUAUAUUCACGCUUUAUACAACCUAGAAAAUGAGUAGUUCGUAUAUGCAUGAGC
rnacentral:misc_RNA from 1 species